CAGCUUAAAGAACUCCUUUCGUCAUUUCUUGUAAUCCAUGUCUGGUGGUGAUGAACUCUCGCAGCCUUUAUUAGGUAGUCUAUCUCACCUUCAUUUCUGAAGGACAACUUUGCUAGGUGUCUGUGCAUUUGAAGGAGUCAGCUCUUCCAGACUUUAUGAACUGCCUUUGGAUAAUUCUGGACCCAGAUUAUACAGUGACACAAAUAAUAAAUGCUCAAAAUGCCCUCAAAUGUAUGCCCUCACAACUCUCAUAAGCCUUCACAAAAUCAAAGGGGGAAGAAAUUACUGACAUAGGAGAAAAGGAGCUGACCUCAGCGGGAAACCAGGAAGAAGACGAUGUGACCUCAAGGCCUUCUCAUAUCUUAAGUGUCCGGUGCUUGUACCACGUUGGCUAGUGAAUUUCCAUUAUGAUCUGUUUCCUUUCCUUUCCCUGUCUCUCCAUGUUUCUUAAACCAGAAGAGCUGACACUGACAUCAUUAGACAUUUCACUCUUGUGACAUACACUGUGGCUUUGCAAAAAAAGAGAGAGAGACGGACCCAGCUGUCUUUCCCUGUUUUCUGACACUAGAUAAGCCUCUCAUGGUUGAAUUGCUGGAUAUUAUACUACAUGAAAUCAUUAGUCAAGGAGCACUUUCAAAUAACCUGCCAUUACCUGAGGCUGUGACAUAUAAAUAUUCUUGCCAAAAUCUGUGGAGUUAAUAAAAAUCUCUAUAAAUCUCAUGGUCCCUGAACAGGAAAAUGUCUUCUUUUAAGGAAGUCCCUAGGACCAACAGCUCUUCUUGUCACACCCCUACAAACUCCAUUGGCAAACCUUAACCUGUCAUUCAACUCUCAUGCCGUUGCUUCUCAAGAGCCUAGAAAACAGGAGAAGUGGGGCUCUUUUUAAGAUCUCUAUUUCUUCCAUGUGAACAGUAGAAUCUGGGGGUAAAUCUUACAUUAAUAUGUGCUUAUUCUUAUAAAGCAAAAGAGACCGCCUUUCAAAUCUUAUUUUUUCUUUCAAAAUGGAUAAACAUUUUAUACUAUUCACUAGGUAAUUCCUGACUCUGAUUAUACACUGACACAAUUAUUUUUAAAAGGCUGAAUUUGUUCAUGUUGACUAAAUUUCAUUCUCCUUUUCGAAUGUAUUAUUAUUCUCAAAUGUUAGCCAGUUAGCCACAAAGGACCAUUUAUUGUAUCAUUCCAUUUAUAUGAACUGUCCAGACAGGCAAAUCCAUAGAGACAGAAAGCAGACUGACGAGGAGGUCAGAGGUAGGAGGAAACAGGGAAUGACUGCUGAUGGGUAUGGGGCUUUUUCUGGAGGUGAUGAACAACAUGUUCUAAAAUUGAGUGAUGUUGACUGAUGUUGUCUAAAAUUGACAACCCUGUGAAUAUACUAAAACCCACAGAAUUGUACACUUUAAAUGGGUGAAUUGUACGGUUUGCAAAUUAUAUCCCAAUAAAGCUACUAUAAAUCAAGUUAUAUAUAUCUCAAGUUAUAUCAGCAGUAGACUGUAAUAUUGUCAAAGUCUAGAGAGCUAAAGGAGGCUAAUCUAAAGAUUUCAUCAACGUUAUACUUAAAGAAAUCACAUAUAUAAACUAACUAGCACUUUUAGAGCAACAGAAAAUCAGUGAAAUGAUGCUUUUCUUCCUUUCAUGCAAUCCGCCCUGUUAGGCAACAACUAUGGAUUAACAACCUAUACUAUGCCUGAGACAUCAUUAUGACAAAAACUAUAAAUAUAUUUACUUAUUUAAUGUUUACCAUUUAAAAGACUUAGAACUUUAUCUAUACCAUAUCCAAAACUAAAAUGUGGAAAAUACCAUAUUGAAAUUAUUGAUACUUACAGAG